AGGACGAACGCUGGCGGCGUGCCUAAUACAUGCAAGUCGAGCGGACGGAUGGGAGCUUGCUCCCUGAAGUCAGCGGCGGACGGGUGAGUAACACGUGGGCAACCUGCCUGUAAGACUGGGAUAACUUCGGGAAACCGGAGCUAAUACCGGAUAAUGCACAGCCUCUCAUGAGGCUAUGCUGAAAGAUGGUUUCGGCUAUCACUUACAGAUGGGCCCGCGGCGCAUUAGCUAGUUGGUGAGGUAACGGCUCACCAAGGCAACGAUGCGUAGCCGACCUGAGAGGGUGAUCGGCCACACUGGGACUGAGACACGGCCCAGACUCCUACGGGAGGCAGCAGUAGGGAAUCUUCCGCAAUGGACGAAAGUCUGACGGAGCAACGCCGCGUGAGUGAUGAAGGUUUUCGGAUCGUAAAACUCUGUUGUCAGGGAAGAACAAGUGCCGGAGUAACUGCCGGCACCUUGACGGUACCUGACCAGAAAGCCACGGCUAACUACGUGCCAGCAGCCGCGGUAAUACGUAGGUGGCAAGCGUUGUCCGGAAUUAUUGGGCGUAAAGCGCGCGCAGGCGGUCUCUUAAGUCUGAUGUGAAAGCCCACGGCUCAACCGUGGAGGGUCAUUGGAAACUGGGGGACUUGAGUGCAGAAGAGGAAAGUGGAAUUCCACGUGUAGCGGUGAAAUGCGUAGAGAUGUGGAGGAACACCAGUGGCGAAGGCGACUUUCUGGUCUGUAACUGACGCUGAGGCGCGAAAGCGUGGGGAGCAAACAGGAUUAGAUACCCUGGUAGUCCACGCCGUAAACGAUGAGUGCUAAGUGUUAGAGGGUUUCCGCCCUUUAGUGCUGCAGCAAACGCAUUAAGCACUCUGCUUGGGGAGUACGGCCGCAAGGCUGAAACUCAAAGGAAUUGACGGGGGCCCGCACAAGCGGUGGAGCAUGUGGUUUAAUUGGAAGCAACGCGAAG
rnacentral:rRNA from 1 species